UACAGAGGGGGCAAGCGUUAUUCGGAAUUAUUGGGCGUAAAGCGCACGUAGGCGGUUUGUUAUGUCGGAUGUGAAAGCCCUUGGCUCAACUGAGGAAGUGCAUCCGAAACUGGCAAGCUAGAGUAUGUAAGAGGGUCGCGGAAUUCCCGGUGUAGAGGUGAAAUUCGUAGAUAUCGGGAGGAACACCGGUGGCGAAGGCGGCGACCUGGGACAAUACUGACGCUGAGGUGCGAAAGCGUGGGGAGCAAACAGG
rnacentral:rRNA from 1 species